rnacentral:rRNA from 1 species
CCCGGGUCUUGUACACACCGCCCGUCACACCAUGGGAGCGGGUUUACCAGAAGUAGGUAGCUUAACCGCAAGGGGGCAGGCGCCUACGGAGUGGCUGGUGAUUGGGGUG